rnacentral:rRNA from 1 species
GACGGAGGAUGCAAGCGUUAUCCGGAAUGAUUGGGCGUAAAGCGUCCGCAGGUGGCAGUUCAAGUCUGCUGUCAAAGACCGGGGCUUAACUUCGGAAAGGCAGUGGAAACUGAACAGCUAGAGUAUGGUAGGGGCAGAGGGAAUUCCCGGUGUAGCGGUGAAAUGCGUAGAUAUCAGGAAGAACAUCGGUGGCGAAGGCGCUCUGCUGGACCAUAACUGACACUCAGGGACGAAAGCUAGGGGAGCGAACAGG